rnacentral:rRNA from 1 species
AUUGAACGCUGGCGGCAGGCCUAACACAUGCAAGUCGAACGAGUGGCGGACGGGUGAGUAAUGUCUGGGAAACUGCCUGAUGGAGGGGGAUAACUACUGGAAACGGUAGCUAAUACCGCAUACCAUCGGAUGUGCCCAGAUGGGAUUAGCUAGUAGGUGGGGUAACGGCUCACCUAGGCGACGAUCCAUAGCUGGUCUGAGAGGAUGACCAGCAACACUGGAACUGAGACACGGUCCAGACUCCUACGGGAGGCAUCAGUGGGGAAUCUUGCAAAAUGGGCGAAAGCCUGAUGAAGCCAGGCAGCGUGUAUGAAGAAGGGCUUCGGGUGGUAAAGUACUUUCAGCGGGGAGGCGUUACCCGCAGAAGAAGAACCGGCUAACUCCGUGCCAGCAGCCGCGGUAAUUC